rnacentral:rRNA from 1 species
GACGAACGCUGGCGGCGUGCCUAAUACAUGCAAGUAGAACGCACAGUUUAUACCGUAGCUUGCUACACCAUAGACUGUGAGUUGCGAACGGGUGAGUAACGCGUAGGUAACCUGCCUGGUAGCGGGGGAUAACUAUUGGAAACGAUAGCUAAUACCGCAUAAUAUUAAUUAUUGCAUGAUAAUUAAUUGAAAGGUGCAAUUGCACCACUACCAGGUGGACCUGCGUUGUAUUAGCUAGUAGGUGAGGUAACGGCUCACCUAGGCGACGAUACAUAGCCGACCUGAGAGGGUGAUCGGCCACACUGGGACUGAGACACGGCCCAGACUCCUACGGGAGGCAGCAGUAGGGAAUCUUCGGCAAUAGACGAAAGUCUGACCGAGCAACGCCGCGUGAGUGAAGAAGGUUUUCGGAUCGUAAAGCUCUGUUGUAAGAGAAGAACGGGUGUGAGAGUGGAAAGUUCACACUGUGACGGUAUCUUACCAGAAAGGGACGGCUAACUACGUG